GCUUAGCCUUAAACCUAGAUAUUAAUCUUACAAAAAUAUCCGCCAGGGUACUACAAGCGCUAGCUUAAAACCCAAAGGACUUGACGGUGUCUCAGACCCACCUAGAGGAGCCUGUUCUAGAACCGAUAUUCCUCGUUAAACCUCACCAUCCCUUGUUUCCACAGCCUAUAUACCGCCGUCGCAAGCUUACCCUGUGAAGGACUAACAGUAAGCAAAAUGGAUAAUAUCCAAAACGUCAGGUCGAGGUGUAGCUUACGGGGUGGCAAGAAAUGGGCUACAUUUUCUACUCAGAAUAAACGAACGGCAUUAUGAAAUUAAUUCCUGAAGGUGGAUUUAGAAGUAAAAAUCAAAUAGAGAGUCAUUUUGAACCAGGCUCUGAGACGCGC
rnacentral:rRNA from 1 species